rnacentral:rRNA from 1 species
AUUGAACGCUGGCGGUAGGCUUAAUACAUGCAAGUCGAACGAGUGGCGGACGGGUGUGUAAUGUAUGGGGAUCUGCCUGAUGGCGGGGGAUAACUACUGGAAACUGUAUCUAAUACCGCAUACCAUCAGAUGAACCCAUAUGGGAUUAUCUUGUGGGUGAGGUAACGGCUCACCUAGGCGACGAUCCCUAGCUGGUCUGAGAGGAUGAUCAGCCACACUGGGACUGAGACACGGCCCAGACUCCUACGGGAGGCAGCAGUGGGGAAUAUUGCACAAUGGGCGCAAGCCUGAUGCAGCCAUGCCGCGUGUAUGAAGAAGGCCUUCGGGUUGUAAAGUACUUUCAGUCGGGAGGCGUUACCGACAGAAGAAGCACCGGCUAACUCCGUGCCAGCAGCCGCGGUAAUAC